rnacentral:ncRNA from 1 species
CCAUGUGACUGACGGUAAGUGGGGAACCACGGGGGAGCAUGGGUUUUAUUUCGCCGACCGUCUGGGCAAUCU